rnacentral:rRNA from 1 species
CCUACGGGCGGCAGCAGUGGGGAAUAUUGCACAAUGGGGGCAGCCCUGAUGCAGCGACGCCGCGUGCGGGAUGACGGUCUUCGGAUCGUAAACCUCUGUCAGCAGGGAAGAACGGUCACUGUGCUAAUCAGCAGUGAAUUGACGGUACCUGCAAAGGAAGCACCGGCUAACUCCGUGCCAGCAGCCGCGGUCAUACGGAGGGUGCGAGCGUUAAUCGGAUUUACUGGGCGUAAGGCGAUCGUAGGUGGUAUGACAAGUCAAAGGUGAAAUCCCGGGGCUCAACGUGGGAACUGCCUGUGAAACUGGCGGACUGGAGUGUGGGAGAGGAUGGCGGAAUUCCAGGUGUAGGAGUGAAAUGCGUAGAGAUCAGGAGGAACAUCAGUGGCGAAGGCGACUAUCUGGCACAUAACUGACGCUGAGGAGCGAAAGCGUGGGUAGCAAACAGGAUUAGAUACCCCUGUAGUC